rnacentral:lncRNA from 1 species
UACAACUGGGUAUAAAGUAUUAUUUAGUAACAGAGCCUGAAACAUCAUGUGAUCAUUACUGGUUUAAAGCAAACCUCCUACCUCAGGAUUUGGGCACCUUUCCAAAAUAUAAACUCAGCAUUUAUAUCAACUGCUGCUAUGAAAGUUAUUUGGGAUCAUGUAGAUGACCUUUCAUGCAAAAAGUAGAUCACAAAAUAAAUAAUUGGAGUUUUAGAAGACUUGAACUCUACAGCAUAGAGAAACCAACAAAACCAACCUAAUAAAAAUAUUGCAUCUUAAAGGAUCCAAGGUCAUCAAGAGCAGGGGGCCAUAGAGCUUAAUUUUUUUUAGUGUUAUUCAAGCAUCUAAAACAGCCAGACACACUACAUGCUUAUCCCUAGAGAUACAGACUUGACCUAGGGUAGAAACAAGCUGCACCACCUCCAGCAAUGGUUCUGAAAAGGCACUCUUCACACACUUAUCUGCUGAAGCAGUGACUCAUGAAAUUCACAACGUGCUAA